GAUGAAGAACGCAGCGAAAUGCGAUAAGUAAUGUGAAUUGCAGAAUUCAGUGAAUCAUCGAAUCUUUGAACGCACAUUGCGCCCGCCAGUAUUCUGGCGAGCAUGCCUGUUCGAGCGUCAUUUCAACCAUCAAGCCCCAGGCUAGUGUUGGAGCCCUGCGGCUGCCGCAGCCUCCCAAAACCAGUGGCGGGCUCGCUAUCACACCGAGUGCAGUAGUUUACUCUUCGCUCAGGGCGUGUGGCGGGUGCUAGCCGUGAAACCCCCAACUUCUCAAGGUUGACCUCGGAUCAGGUAGGAAUACCCGCUGAACUUAAGCAUAUCAAUAAGCGGAGGA
rnacentral:misc_RNA from 1 species